rnacentral:rRNA from 1 species
UACGUAGGCAGCGAGCGUUGUUCGGAAUUACUGGGCGUAAAGGGCUCGUAGGUGGCCAACUAAGUCAUACGUGAAAUCCCUCGGCUUAACCGGGGAACUGCGUCUGAUACUGGAUGGCUUGAGUUUGGGAGAGGGAUGCGGAAUUCCAGGUGUAGCGGUGAAAUGCGUAGAUAUCUGGAGGAACACCGGUGGCGAAGGCGGCAUCCUGGACCAACACUGACGCUGAGGAGCGAAAGCCAGGGGAGCAAAACGGG